GACGAACGCUGGCGGCGUGCUUAACACAUGCAAGUCGAACGGAGAGGCCCUGCUGUUGUGGGGUGCUCGAGUGGCGAACGUGUGAGGAACACGAGAGUAACCUGCCCCUGACUUUGGGAUAACUUCAGGAAACUGGUGCUAAUAGCUGAUAGGAUCUCCUGCGGCAGGGGGGGGGUAGGAAAUUUUCGGCGGGUGGGGAUGGAGUCGCGGCUUAUCAGCUUGUUGGUGGGGUAGUGGCUUACCAAGGCUGUGACGGGUAGCCGGCCUGAGAGGGUGACCGGCCACACUGGGACUGAGAUACGGCCCAGACUCCUACGGGAGGCAGCAGUGGGGAAUAUUGCACAAUGGGCGGAAGCCUGAUGCAGCAACGCCGCGUGCGGGAUGACGGCCUUCGGGUUGUAAACCGCUUUCGCCUGUGACGAAGCGUGAGUGACGGUAAUGGGUAAAGAAGCACCGGCUAACUACGUG
rnacentral:rRNA from 1 species